CCAGACUCCUACGGGAGGCAGCAGUGGGGAAUAUUGGGCAAUGGGCGCAAGCCUGACCCAGCAACGCCGCGUGAAGGAAGAAGGCUUUCGGGUUGUAAACUUCUUUUCUGGGGGACGAAGAAAGUGACGGUACCCCAGGAAUAAGCCACGGCUAACUACGUGCCAGCAGCCGCGGUAAUACGUAGGGAGCGAGCGUUGUCCGGAAUUACUGGGUGUAAAGGGAGCGUAGGCGGGACUGCAAGUUGGGUGUCAAAUCUACCGGCUCAACCGGUAGCCGCACUCAAAACUGCAGUUCUUGAGUGAAGUAGAGGCAGGCGGAAUUCCUAGUGUAGCGGUGAAAUGCGUAGAUAUUAGGAGGAACACCAGUGGCGAAGGCGGCUUACUGGACUGUAACUGACGUUGAGGCUCGAAAGCGUGGGGAGCAAACAGGAUUAGAUACCUCCGUA
rnacentral:rRNA from 1 species